rnacentral:rRNA from 1 species
AGAUAUUAUCCCCUUGUAGUGUAGUUUAAUAGCUAUCUACAUAAUAACUUAAUAUAAAGUAUAAUAGUUUAUAUUUUAUAAUAUGACGUUAACAAUUUUGUUUAAUAUUUGAAAAUGUUAGUAUUAGUAAUAUUAGUAUAUGUGCUAAAGGAACUCGGCAAAAAACCACUCAACUGUUUAUCAAAAACAUAGCUAUAUGCAUUAAUAUAUAGUUAUUUCUGCUCAAUGACUUAAAUAGCCGCAGUACUCUGACUGUGCAAAGGUAGCAUAAUCAGUUGGCUUUUAAUUAGAGUCUGGUAUGAACGAAAAUAUGGGUAGUAACUGUCUUAGCACAUUUUUUCGAACUUAUUAAACAAGUGCAAAUGCUUGUAAUUUAACAAUAGACGAGAAGACCCUAGAAACUUGGACAAGUUUUUGUUGGGGCGACAGAAUUACACUUAACUAAUCUUAUAAUACACGACGCGAUGUUGAAAGAAUAAGUUACUCUAGGGAUAACAGCAUAAUUUCAUUAGUUUGUGACCUCGAUGUUGGACUAGGUACUAUACCCUUAAGGCAAGGAUAUAUUAUGCUCUGUUCGAGCAAAAUUACCUACAUGAUCUGAGUUCAGACCG